rnacentral:tRNA from 1 species
GGGAAUGUAGCUUCAUGGUAAAGCACUUGCCUAACAUGCAAGGCCCGGGGUUCAAUCCCU